ACAGUGAUGGACUCCUCAUUAGGUGGCUGGGCAUGCAGAAACUAUAAGGCCCCGGUGAGGACAGGAGUAGAAGACAACUGGAUCCUGAGCCACUCUGAAGCAAGGAGAGCAAUGCAGCUUAGAGAGAGAAAAAUGCCUUGCUGAGGGUCAACAGCAAGUGCACAGAUCCCAGGGCUGUGAUGGGACCAGAAGAUGAAGUGCUCUGGCUUCGGGAAAAGAGACCCAAGCCACAAGGAACAUCCUCGGUGGCAGUCCAGUCCCCAAGCCUACCACAUCAAUCAGCUCAGGUAGGUUGGUAUCCUGCAAGGGCUGACCCUGGGUGGGGACAGUGCAGGUCCACAGCCUGGUCCCCUUGGCUGGGACUCAUCAUUCCUGAGGGCUGGGUGACUCUGGGAUGGUGGCUUGGGGUUGGUGGGCCUGGGGGACUAGGAGGGCACUCUUUACUGUCUUCUUCCACUGCUUAG
rnacentral:lncRNA from 1 species